rnacentral:piRNA from 2 species
UGAUUUACCACAUGGUAAUCCUCUUCUCUC